UCGGUGUAGAAAACAACGACAGUCUUUGUUAUGGUUUAACAGCUCUUAGACCGGGAUGUCUCCAACUGAAUUGGAAUUCGUGACUUGGAGAGCCAGAAUAACAUUCACAUGAAGACCACUGGGACCAGACAGUUUAACAAUAUUGCACGCAGGCAUAGUACCGAUGGAGUCUGGGAGCACAGACCAAGCCACCCCUGAGCCCCAAGAGCAAGGUGUUGACAGGAUGGGAUCACCCAGUAGCAGGCCGCGCCCUUCCCGUCCCCCUUGUCUGACAGCCGCUCAUUAAUCUUCAGGAUGUAGGGUGUCAUUAAACCAGGAGGCCAUUCAUCUCACCGGACACCAACAGAAGGUAUUACCCGCAUCCCCCAUCCCUUUUAAAACACAUCAGUCUCAUCCGCCAGUGGAUUGCAACCUGCCAAGAAUGUAUUCUGUUUCAAAGUGAACCUGCAAAGUCAUGGAAACGCUUGUGAGUGAAUGUCCUCUUUUUCAACUCUGAAUAUUUUAUUUCUCUGUAACUGGUGCCUCAAUAUUUAUUCACACAUCACUCGAGUACUGUACAUACACAUGCAAUGCACAUACACAUACACAUACACAUACACACAUACACACAUACACACAUACACACAUGCACAUACAACUUAUACACCUCAUCUCUUUGUGUUACUAAAUGUUUCCCUCUUCAGUUUAGUUCGGUCUGUAAAAUAUUAAAUACUGCAAUGUCCAGAAGGGUAUUUCCGUAUUGUGAUUGCCUUAAUAUAAUUGUAGCUGGUUGUGGUUGUGAUGAUAAGGAUGCUUUUAGAAAACAAGCUAUGUUUAUUACCUACAAGCCUGCUGCACUUAUUCAAAUUGGAUUAGCACUUGAUUAUCAAUU